AACGAAUAUUGUUGACAGGCAUUG
rnacentral:siRNA from 1 species